rnacentral:sRNA from 1 species
UCCUUCUGAAGCAGAAGCUCCAAGAGGAUGACCUUCCCCGAUGGAGGAGGACUGUUCUUCUUCGGUCAAGGGUAUAGGACUAGCUGCACUUCCUUGCUAGAACCUCCAAACAAGCUCAAGAACAGCUGAAACAGGAAAUAAGGGAAUACCAGU